rnacentral:rRNA from 1 species
AUGGAGAUGCCUGAUAUUGAAGCUGGCACGGUAGUCACCGAUUCUGAUAGUUCAAGAAGGCCACAAGACAAUACUGCGACAUCAAUCCCAAACAGUGGAAAUUUAGAAGGUUCAAGCCACAGGGCUACAAAGACCACCAGGUUCAAAGGCGACGACGACGGGGUUGUUGAGAUUACCCUUGACAUACAACGCGAUUCAGUGUCAAUCCAAGAUGUCAGGCCAGUUGACGAUGGUGGCUCAGCACACAGCGGUGCACUGGUGUCACCUUCCUCAUCAAGGAGCGGCAAGCUGUCAUCGAAACUGAGACAGGUGACCAACGGGCUAAAGCUGACGAAUCCGAGCAAGAAGAUGCCACCGACGCCUGCACCAAAGACCGUGAGGAAGAGAUAUGACCGAAGCAAGAGUAGUGCUGCAGUGGCACUCAAAGGCUUGCAGUUUGUGACUGCCAAAGUUGGCAAUGACGGCUGGGCUGCUGUGGAGAAACGGUUCAAUCACCUACAGGUUGAUGGCAUGCUACUCCGUUCGAGAUUUGGGAAAUGCAUUGGGAUGGAAGGGUCAGACGAGUUUGCGAUGCAAAUGUUCGACUCGUUAGCGAGGAAGAGAGGGAUGGUGAAGCAAGUGCUGACUAAGGAGGAGCUGAAAGAUUUCUGGGAGCAACUCAGUGAUCAGGGUUUUGACAACCGUCUCCAAACGUUCUUUGACAUGGUUGACAAAAAUGCUGAUGGAAGAAUCACCUCAGAGGAGGUUAAGGAGAUUAUUGCGCUUAGUGCAUCAGCAAAUAAACUUUCCAAGAUCAAAGAGCGAGCUGAUGAGUACACAGCACUUAUUAUGGAAGAGCUUGAUCCAAACAACUUGGGCUACAUAGAGCUCGAGGACUUGGAGGCACUCUUACUGCAGUCACCAUCUGAAGCUGUUGCAAGAUCAACGACCACCCACAGCUCGAAACUUAGCAAAGUUCUUAGCAUGAAGCUCGCACCUAGCAAUGACACGAGUCCACUUCGCCGCCACUGGCAGGAGUUUUUGUACUUUGUUGAGGAAAACUGGAAGCGCAUAUGGGUCAUGACUCUCUGGCUUUCAAUCUGCAUCGCCCUUUUCAUUUGGAAGUUCAUCCAGUAUCGUAACAGGGCUGUAUUUCACAUCAUGGGCUACUGUGUGGCCACUGCAAAGGGUGCCGCAGAGACCCUGAAAUUCAAUAUGGCCCUGGUCCUUCUUCCUGUCUGCCGUAAUACAAUCACAUGGAUUCGAUCAAAGACAAAGAUUGGAGCUGUUGUACCCUUCAAUGACAACAUAAACUUCCAUAAGGUAAUAGCAGCAGGUGUUGCAGUUGGUGUUGCUCUGCAUGCAGGUGCUCAUCUGACAUGUGAUUUUCCUCUCUUGCUCCAUGCAAGUGAUGCAAAAUAUGAACCAAUGAAGCCUUUCUUUGGGGACAAAAGGCCACCAAACUACUGGUGGUUUGUAAAAGGAACUGCAGGGUGGACAGGUAUUGUCAUGGUAGUGCUCAUGUCAAUAGCUUUUGUAUUAGCUCAGCCAUGGUUCCGACGUAACAAGCUGAAGGACACUAAUCCACUCAAGAAGAUGACUGGUUUCAAUGCCUUUUGGUUUACGCACCACCUAUUUGCUAUUGUGUAUGUGCUGCUCAUCGUCCAUGGAACAAGUUUGUAUCUGACGAAGGAGUGGUACAAGAAAUCGACAUGGAUGUACAUCGCUUAUCCUGUCUUCUUAUAUUCAUGCGAGCGCAUUGUUCGGUUAUUUAGGAGCCAUGAUGCAGUUAAGAUUCAGAAGGUUGCGGUAUAUCCUGGGCAUGUGUUGGCUCUUUAUAUGUCCAAGCCAACUGGUUUUAGAUACCGGAGUGGGCAGUACAUCUUCAUAAAUUGCAGAGCUGUAUCUCCAUAUGAAUGGCAUCCGUUUUCCAUUACAUCGGCACCAGGAGAUAAUUACCUCAGUGUCCACAUCCGCACAAGGGGUGAUUGGACUUCUCGGCUUAGGACAGUCUUCUCUGAGGCGUGUCGGCCUCCAGCUGAAGGAGAAAGUGGACUCCUUAGAGCUGACCUCUCCAGGGGAAUCACUGACUGCAACGCAAGAUUCCCUAAACUUUUGAUUGAUGGACCAUAUGGUGCUCCAGCACAAGAUUACCGGGAAUACGAUGUGCUACUCCUCAUUGGGCUUGGCAUUGGAGCCACCCCUUUGAUCAGCAUUGUGAAGGAUGUGCUUAACCACAUCCAGCCUGGGGGAUCGGUUGGUGGAGCAGAGCCGGGGAGCACCACUGGUAAGGCAAAGAAGAGACAAUUUAUGACGAAGAGGGCCUACUUCUACUGGGUCACAAGGGAGGAGGGCUCCUUUGAAUGGUUCAGAGGGGUGAUGAACGAGGUGGCUGAGAAGGACAAGGAUCAAGUGAUCGAGCUCCACAACCAUUGCUCGAGUGUGUAUCAAGAGGGCGAUGCUCGUUCCGCGCUCAUUGUCAUGCUCCAAGAACUCCAGCAUGCAAAGAAGGGAGUUGACAUCUUGUCUGGAACCAGCGUCAAGACUCACUUUGCCAGGCCUAAUUGGCGAAGCGUCUUCAAGCGUGUUGCGGUCAACCAUGAGAACCAGCGCGUCGGGGUUUUCUAUUGUGGUGAGCCUGUUCUUGUGCCACAGUUGCGGCAGUUGUCGGCAGAUUUCACCCACAAGACAAACACAAAGUUUGAGUUUCACAAGGAGAACUUCUAG